UGGUACCAGAAGUGGAUAAUUACUUGGCUUGGAUCCAGUGAGAUGCCUCUUACAACUGACUGAAUCAGAAAGAAACUGGUGGUAAAUGCUUGGCCCCCAGGGCCGUGGUGCAGCCAGCAGGUCACUAGGGCCACUUGGGGAAAGGGAACCCGGAAGCCCGACAUGUCAGCAAAAGAGUAAAAAUUUCUUACCAGUCAGACUGCUGCCUCUCUCUCCCUGUACAAACUGGUUGAAUGAAUGAUAAAAAUCAUUAUCUCCUGUGAAGUUUUGAUUAAUGAAAAAAGGAUUUAUGAGGCUACUCUUGAACUAUAGCCAAUCUGGUAAGCUUUAUGUGUCUUCCUAUAUCGUUCUGUCAUAAAGAGGAGUUCUUUUUUUUUUUUUUUUCCAAGAUGGAGCCUCGCUCUGUCACCCAGGCUGGAGUGCAGUGGCGCGAUCUCAGCUCCCUGCAACCUCCGCCCCCCCGCAGGUUCAAGCGAUUCUCCUGCCUCAGCCUCCCGAGUAGCUGGGAUAACAGGUGCGCUGUAAUUUUUGUAUUUUUAGUAGAGAUGGGGUUUCACCAUCUUGGCCAGGCUGGUCUUGAACUCCUGACCUCAUGAUCCACCCGCCUUGGCCUCCCAAAGUGCUGGGAUUACAGGCGUGAGCCACCGCGUCCAGCCAAGAGGAGUUGUUUAGGAUAGAACAUGGGCUUAAAACCCCAUAAGCCCGCUGCUCAAGAUGGCUCAACAAACUGGUUAAUAACAAACUUUACUGAAAUAAACAAACAAGAAAACUGGAUGAGGUCUCCAUCUUGUUUUAUGUCCUCGGGAAUUUGACUUUGUGAGAACAUGGCGGUACUUUCUCUUGGUCUCCGCCUUCCAAGGAAGAAGAAUUUUAAAGUUCAUGUCAUAGUUAACUCUAAAAAUUACCUUAAGUAGUUAAAAGCCUUUACAAGCUCAAAAUUAACUACUCUAGACUCCUUCCGGAAAGGGCAAUAUAAACCACCCAGUGCUGUAACUCAGUAACUAAGAUUUUGUCCUUUCAUAGUGACAGCCCAGGUUCAAUUCCUGACUUAGAAAAUAAGUCCUUUCUUGUUUAAUAUCUGCAUAACCAUUACCAUUUGUUGAUUGUCUUCCCCUUCUGUAACCAUCUUGAAUUUUCCUUUCUCAGAACACCUGUAAGGUUACUUGGUAAAGUUUAAAAGUCAGAAAUAUUGGCCAUUUGACCUGGCUAAAGUAGGGUAAUUUAAAAGAAAUUUAAAAGGAUUUUUUAAAAAGAGCACUAUUGUUAAAAGUCAGCUUAAUUAAAAACAGAUAUUCAAGCCCUAACAGCCUGAGACCCUUUGGGAAAAACAGGAGAUGCUAGAGAUCCAGUUUUUGGAAAAACCUGUUUUCUUCAUGAAAUCCCCAAAAUUGAAAGUGGAUAGACUCCUUUCAAAAUCUAAGUCUCUGGUCUGUUUUGUAUUACAUUAUCUGACAUUUUUUACUUUUGGGGUUAUCAGAAAUUACUUUACAUUAUAAAAGAGAUUUGGUGUGUAAUAACUAGGUAGCAAAUAUAUUUUUAGGGGUGUCUAAUGACAGUUAUGGGGAAACACUCAGCUCUACACAUUUGUAUCAGAGAAACAUACUCUUGGCCACCUGAGAAGUAUGGAGAUGUCUCCACCCCCAGUGAGAAUGAGACUCUCAUGGGAGAUGGACUAAUUACAAAAUGGAUUGAUUGGCUUUAGGUUGCCAUAUAAUGAAAUACAUAGUAGUAACAUUACACUGUCUUCUCCAAUAGCAUUUCGCUUUGUAGGGGGAUCCAGGAUACAAUAUGAAAAUGAGACCCUUGGCUGGGCACAGUGGCUCACACCUGUAAUACCAGCAUGUUGGGAGGCUAAGGUGGGAGAAUCAUGAGGUCAGGAGUUCGAGACCAACCUGACCAACAUGGUGAAACCCCAUCUCUACUAAAAAUACAAAACAUUUAUCUGGGUAUAGUCGUGGGCACCUGUAAUGCCAGCUACUUGGGAGACUGAGUCAGGAGAAAUGCUUGUACCCAGGAGGCAGAGGUUGCAGUGAGCUGAGAUUGCGCCACUGCACUCUAGCCCAGGCGACAGAGUGAGACUCCAUCUCAAAAAAAAAAAAAGAGACCCUUAAUUUUGGGGAUUUGUUUUUGCCCUCCAUCUGUGCCUACUUAUUAGGCCAUAGAAACUACAUGCUUUCGUAGCUGUUUCUUCCAAGGACUCUACCCAAAAGCCAGUAAUCCAAUUAAGAAACUUAAAAAUGUAAAUGAAAAAAUAUUACAGCUACUUAAUCUUCUUCUGUCUGUGUAGUUAUAUAUGUGUUGUGUGUAUAAUGUUUAUAUGAAAGAGCUCUAAUUAAUUGCCUUAAAGAAAAGUAAGUACGUAAAUCAAAUAUUUUGAAAAAAAUAAAAACUAUAAUGUCUUUUAGUUCACACAACUUUAGUGCUCUUUGGGAAAUAAAAACAGCUUUAAAGAUUAUUGACAAAAUAAAAACAUUUGAUCUAAAUUAUACAGAUUGGAUAUUAGCUUUACUAAAUUCUUUAAGGUCAUAAACUGCUUCCUUGACUUUUAAAAAUUGUUCAAUUUAUUUUGGAGUGUUAGAUUCUACAUAAGGCCUGCAAACAUGUGGAAUUAACAGUGCUCCCUAACUAUACGAAGAAGGUUAUAAAGAAAAGAGAUUUUAUAUAAGAAAGACCUUGUAUAGUAAAUUAUUGUCCUAAAAUAAAAUAACUGGUUAUUUAAAAACAGAGAUGUUCAGGACAAGUCAAAGUCCAAACAUGUCAUAGAUGGUCUGUGUAAGUCGUGAAAGGAUUCAUGAAAGGAAAUUUGUCCACCAAAAGUAAAAGUUGUUAAGAGUUACCAAUAAAACAUGUAAUUGAGACUGGAG
rnacentral:lncRNA from 10 species